rnacentral:rRNA from 1 species
CGCCGAAUGAGUUUCUGACCUAUCAACUCGAGUACGGCGGGGUAGAGGCCCGCCGCGGUAACGACGGGUAACGGGGAAUCAGGGUUCGAUUCCGGAGAGGGAGCCCGAGAAACGGCUACCACUUCCAAGGAAGGCAGCAGGCGCGCAACUUACCCUAAUCUCGAUUCGAGGAGGUAGUGACAAGAAAUACCGAUGCGGGACCCUACGGGUGCCGCGUUCGGUAAUGAGUACGAUUCGAACCACCUAACGAGGAACGAUCGGAGGGGCAAGUCUGGUGCCAGCAGCCGCGGUAAUUCCAGCUCCAAUAGCGUACGUUAAAGUUGCUGCAGUUAAAAAAGCUCGUAGUUGAACGUUCGGGUUCCGCGGGACGGGGCCGCCCCGCGAGGGACGGCGCCGCCCCGGGGCUCGUGAUAUCCUCAUCUCGCCGCCCCGUCGCGAGGCGGACGGGAGGGGAGUGGAGUGAGGGUU